GGAAAUAUUUGCGUGUGUUCAGUAAACUUGUGUUGUAGUUUUAGAGCUGGAGCUGGAGUUCAGCCUCAGGGAGAGUUUAUAAACGAGCAGGUAACUCCCGUUGAAGAAACAUUCACAGAGUUGGAAUAAAUCAACAUCGAGUCCGAGGAAGAGAUGGAGGAUCAGACAGAAAUCAACGUUAAGAUCGAGGAAGAGAUGGAGGAUCAGCGCGGACUGAUGGAUUUUACCCGGAUACCGAAGAUCAUCUUCCACCGGAUAGAUCUCCCUCAACAUUGUGUGUAUAAAGAGGAGGAGGUUCUGAAUGAAACAGAACCACAGAGGAACCAACUCAUCUCUCAUGGCUCUCCAGAAGCUGAGAACCAGGAUCAGGAAGGAAGCAAUUCUGAAGACCCAGGAAAAAAGAGAAAGAAAGAACAGAAACAAAAGAAGAACUAUGAGAAAACCAAA